rnacentral:misc_RNA from 1 species
UUUCCGUAGGUGAACCUGCGGAAGGAUCAUUGUCGUGACCCUUAAACAAAACAGACCGCGAACGAGUCCCUCGUGCCGCCGAGCUUCGGCUCGGCAUCAGGUCCCCGAGCUCCGUCCCGGGGCGGAGGGGCCACAACAGAACCCACGGCGCCUUAGGCGUCAAGGAACACUUAUAUUGCCUUGCUCGGCGGGGCGGUCGGCCUGCCUUCCGCUCCCCGCGCAGCGAUGAUAUCUUAAUCCACAUGACUCUCGGCAACGGAUAUCUCGGCUCUC